rnacentral:misc_RNA from 1 species
CCAAUAGCGUAUAUUAAAGUUGUUGCAGUUAAAAAGCUCGUAGUUGAAUUUCGGAGUUUGUCGGUUGGUCGGGCUUCACUGUCCGCACUGGCCUGAUGGAUUCCUACCUUCUGAAUAACCAGCAUGCUAUUAAGUUAGUGCGUUGGGGAAGCAGAGCUAUUACCUUGAAAAAAUUAGAGUGCUUAAAGCAGGCUUAUGCUUGAAUAGAUUAGCAUGGAAUAAUAAAAUAGGAGGGCAUGGUUCUAUUUUGUUGGUUUCUAGGAUCACCGUAAUGAUUAAUAGGGAUAGUUGGGGGCAUUAGUAUUCAAUUGUCAGAGGUGAAAUUCUUGGAUUUAUUGAAGACUAACUUCUGCGAAAGCAUUUGCCAAGGAUGUUCUCGUCGAUCAAGAACGAAAGUUAGAGGUUCGAAGGCGAUCAGAUACCGCCCUAGUUCUAACCAUAAACUAUGCCUGCCAGCGAUCCGCCGAAGUUCCUCCGAUGACUCGGCGGGCAGCUUCCG